AGCGCUGAACGCACGAGAUAUUACGUUAUGACAGUUUAUGAUAACAAAAUGUAAAAAUCGAUCAGCUGAUUUCACAGAUUGCAACAGCUGUUCGUGGACUUUUAUCGAUGUGAAGAUGUUCACGGUGGAGACGAGACGAACGUGUGGACCUCUGGCAAAGCCUUAGGAGCGUCUUUUUUAAAUAUGGCUGAAAAGAGGAUAUUUAUGAGGCUUUAUAGCUCGGUGUUGGUUACUGAUUAUGAAAUACAGACGGAGUGAGCCAGAGGGAGGCACCACCAGCAGUCAGACGGGACUCCCAUCAUGAGUCAAUCUGCGCUUGGCGUUUUGUAAACGACCUCUACGACGAAACAAUGACUGAGUCCUAAACGCCGGCGCCGCCCGAUGACUUUGGCUGUGAAGGGUAAUUGAUUGGCGGGGAUUAUCCUCUUCCAAAUCACCUGCUGAUGGAGCCCAGAAUUACAGAGGUGAAGCAAUCUGCAACCAGAGAGCAUGCAGCCCUCCUACAGUGUGACGCCGAAGGUGUCCCGUGACGAUGACCGGGUCACAACGUCGACCCUUGGCCUUCGUUUUCUAAUAUUGCUGAAUUGGCUCAUUAACCCUGCAGGCAAAACAUAAAUGUAAAGCAUAUAAAGCUCGUUGCUCUCCAACUGUUUAUAAAAGUUACUCCGCUCGUGCUCAACUCAAAGCUUCUCUCUCUGCUUUUCUUUUUUUUUGUUUUUCGUAUUCAACGUUUUGCUCCACUUCAGAUCUGCGUGUAAUUUCCCUUCACAUUAGUAACAA